rnacentral:rRNA from 1 species
CCCUACGGGGCGCAGCAGGCGCGAAACCUUCACACUGUGCGAAAGCACGAUGAGGGGAUCCCAAGUGCUUGCACGUAAGUGUAAGCUGUUUCUUUGUUUAAAAUGCAUAGAGAGUAAGGGCUGGGUAAGACGGGUGCCAGCCGCCGCGGUAAUACCUGCAGCUCGAGUGGUGACCACUAUUAUUGGGCCUAAAACGUCCGUAGCCGGUUUGAUAAAUGCCUGGGUAAAUCGUAUAGCUCAACUAUACGAAUUCCGGGUAGACUGUCAAGCUUGAGACCGGGAGAAGCUAGAGGUACUCUUGGGGUAGAGGUGAAAUUCUGUAAUCCUGAGGGGACCACCAGUGGCGAAGGCGUCUAGCUAGAACGGGUUUGACGGUGAGGGACGAAGCCCUGGGGCGCGAACCGGAUUAGAUACCCGGGUAGUCCAGGGUGUAAACGCUGCUUGCUUGAUGUUAGUCGGGCUCCGAGCCCAACUAGUGUCGGAGAGAAGUUGUUAAGCAAGCUGCCUGGGAAAUACGAUCGCAAGAUUGAAACUUAAAGGAAUUGGCGGGGGAGCCA